UUCGGAAGAGAGGUGUUUGAAGGGCAUGAGAUACUUCAUCUGCUAAUGUUGGUUCCAAAGAAUCUAAUACGGCUUCAAGUUGGCUUCUGGUGAAUAUAAUGGCUUCAUCAAGUACUUUGUCCCCUUGAGUCCUAAGCCCUUUCUGUCAUGUAUGCACGCUGGACCGGACAAACAAAAAUAGCAGUUAGUUUUUACGAUCAAGAAUGUCAAUGCACGCACCUUCACUCUGAUGUUACCUUAGGUGCAGUUGGCGGCUGGUAUGUCAGGAAAAAAUCACCCCACAGACUCGGAUGGAAGGUCGGCGGAUCCUUCCGCUGCCCCUGAUGAACAUCAUUGACGGAGCAAACUGGAGGCGAUUCUUGGUGGACAUCUCUGUUCCAUUGCAUCAGUACUUAUAGGCUCCAGCAGACCAGCAACUAACGUCGUUAUUACAUCGCCAAAGGAAUCUACAGCCUAAGCAUGUACGUCGUACGUACAUAAAGCAUACAAAUCACA